rnacentral:rRNA from 1 species
UACGGAGGAUGCAAGUGUUAUCCGGAAUCACUGGGCGUAAAGCGUCUGUAGGUGGUUUGCUAAGUCCGCUGUUAAAGCUUGAAGCUCAACUUCGAAAAUGCAGUGGAAACUAGUAGACUUGAGUGUGGUAGGGGUAGAGGGAAUUUCCAGUGAAGUGGUGAAAUGCGUAGAUAUUGGAAAGACCACCAAUGGCGAAGGCACUCUACUGGGCCACAACUGACACUGAGAGACGAAAGCUAGGGGAGCAAACGGG